UACAGAGGGUGCGAGCGUUAAUCGGAAUUACUGGGCGUAAAGGGUGCGUAGGUGGUUGUAUAAGUUAGGUGUGAAAGUCCUGGGCUUAACCUGGGGAUUGCGCCUGAUACUGUGUAGCUAGAGUACUGUAGAGGAAAGUGGAAUUUCCGGUGUAGCGGUGAAAUGCGUAGAUAUCGGAAGGAACAUCAGUGGCGAAGGCGACUUUCUGGACAGCUACUGACACUGAGGCACGAAAGCGUGGGGAGCAAACAGG
rnacentral:rRNA from 1 species